rnacentral:rRNA from 1 species
GACGAACGCUGGCGGCGUGCUUAACACAUGCAAGUCGAACGGAAAGGCCCGGCGUUUGUGGGGUGCUCGAGUGGCGAACGGGGGAGUAACACGUGAGUAACCUGCCCUUGACUUUGGGAUAACUUCAGGAAACUGGGGCGAAUACCGGAUAGGAGCUCCUGCUGCAUGGGGGUGGUUGGAAAGUUUCGGCGGUUGGGGAUGGACUCGCGGGUUAUCAGCUUGUUGGGGGGGUAGUGGCUUACCAAGGGUUUGACGGGUAGGCGGCCUGAGAGGGUGACCGGCGACAUUGGGACUGCGAUACGGAGCAGAAGGCUACGGGACGCAGCAGUGGGGAAUAUUGCAGAAUGGGCGGAAGUCUGAUGCAGCAACGCCGCGUGCGGGAUGACGGCCUUCUGGUUGUAAACCGAUUUCGCCUGUGACGAAGCGUGAGUGACGGUAAUGGGUAAAGAAGCAACGGCUAACUACGUG